GGCGGACGGGUGAGUAACGCGUGGGUAACCUGCCUCAUACAGGGGGAUAACAGUUAGAAAUGACUGCUAAUACCGCAUAAGACCACAGCACCGCAUGGUGCGGGGGUAAAAACUCCGGUGGUAUGAGAUGGACCCGCGUCUGAUUAGCUAGUUGGUAAGGUAACGGCUUACCAAGGCGACGAUCAGUAGCCGACCUGAGAGGGUGAUCGGCCACAUUGGAACUGAGACACGGUCCAAACUCCUACGGGAGGCAGCAGUGGGGAAUAUUGCACAAUGGGCGAAAGCCUGAUGCAGCAACGCCGCGUGAGCGAUGAAGGCCUUCGGGUCGUAAAGCUCUGUCCUCAAGGAAGAUAAUGACGGUACUUGAGGAGGAAGCCCCGGCUAACUACGUGCCAGCAGCCGCGGUAAUACGUAGGGGGCAAGCGUUAUCCGGAAUUACUGGGUGUAAAGGGAGCGUAGGCGGCACGCCAAGCCAGAUGUGAAAGCCCGAGGCUUAACCUCGCGGAUUGCAUUUGGAACUGGCGAGCUAGAGUACAGGAGAGGAAAGCGGAAUUCCUAGUGUAGCGGUGAAAUGCGUAGAUAUUAGGAAGAACACCAGUGGCGAAGGCGGCUUUCUGGACUGAAACUGACGCUGAGGCUCGAAAGCGUGGGGAGCAAACAGGAUUAGAUACCCUGGUAGUCCACGCCGUAAACGAUGAGUGCUAGGUGUCGGGGAGGAAUCCUCGGUGCCGCAGCUAACGCAAUAAGCACUCCACCUGGGGAGUACGACCGCAAGGUUGAAACUCAAAGGAAUUGACGGGGGCCCGCACAAGCGGUGGAGCAUGUGGUUUAAUUCGAAGCAACGCGAAGAACCUUACCAAGGCUUGACAUCCCGAUGACCGCUCUAGAGAUAGAGCUUCUCUUCGGAGCAUCGGUGACAGGUGGUGCAUGGUUGUCGUCAGCUCGUGUCGUGAGAUGUUGGGUUAAGUCCCGCAACGAGCGCAACCC
rnacentral:rRNA from 1 species